CUGGCUGUGGAUUAGGUCAUAAAUGGCCCUUCUGCGUCUCUUAUUCUCACGUCCUGGAAGCAGGUCGCGCAGGUCGUCUUCAGUCAGGGCCUGAAUGUCUGAGUCACUUUGUAAACCAGCGUCUGCAACAACGACACAGAAUGACUAAAGAUGGAAACUCAACAUUUAAACGUGAGCUCAACAGUCAUCUUAUAAAAGUGAAACAACAAAUUGUUUUUAUUAUCUAAUCCUCGUCAAUAAACAAAAGGUCACUAACUCAUCAACUCAUCAGCUGCUGGUUUGUCGAUGUCUUCUAUUUCCUUCAGUAAACCCGACAUGACUUCACCUGUAAAGCGGAAUAAAAGCAGCAUUUAUUAUUCUAUUAUUCUGGUAGAUCGUCUUUUCUCUCGUCCGUGUGACAUAUUGGUGAAAGAUCGGGAUACAAACCAGCUGUGUAGACGAGUCAAACCAAAGGAAGCGAUCGAUCA
ensembl:lncRNA